UACGUAGGGUCCGAGCGUUGUCCGGAAUUAUUGGGCGUAAAGGGCUCGUAGGCGGUUUGUCGCGUCGGGAGUGAAAACGCCGUGCUUAACACGGCGCUUGCUUUCGAUACGGGCAGACUAGAGGUAUGCAGGGGAGAACGGAAUUCCUGGUGUAGCGGUGAAAUGCGCAGAUAUCAGGAGGAACACCGGUGGCGAAGGCGGUUCUCUGGGCAUUACCUGACGCUGAGGAGCGAAAGUGUGGGGAGCGAACAGG
rnacentral:rRNA from 1 species